CGCCCGUCAAACCAUGGGAGCUGGUAAUGCCCGAAGUCGGUUUAUAAAGAAACUGCCUAAGGCAGGACUGGUGACUGGGGUUAAGUCGUAACAAGGUAUCCCUACGAGAACGUGGGGAUGGAUUACCUCCUUUCUACGGAGUACACACGUCUUUCGUUUUUUAGUAAAGACAUAACCAAAGUUAUUUACAGACCUGUUAUUUAUAUAUUUUAUGUCAUGGGCUUUUAAUAAGGUCGGAGCUUUAUAUCUAGUUUUGAGAGAGCAUUCUCUCUUUGUUCUUUGAAAACUGAAUAGUAAAAUAUUUUUCGAUAUUUACAACGACAUCAAAAAUCAAAUUAAAAAUUUAAUGGUUAAUUUGUUUUGAUUCAUCGAGUAAAUCAUAUUAAUUAUGAUUCAUUGAAAUGUCUUAAAAUACACAUCUUAAACUAAACAAUAGGAAAAUACUACUUUUAAAUAAGUAAGAGUUUGUGGUGGAUGCCUUGGGUCUGGAAGUCGAUGAAGGACGUGAUUACCUGCGAUAAGCCUCGUGGAGCCGGAAAUGUGCUAUGAAACGGGGAUUUCCGAAUGGGGAAACCUAACUAGGGUAAUGCCUAGUUGCCUAUGUCUGAAUUCAUAGGACAUAGAGUGAGACACCUUGUGAACUGAAGCAUCUUAGUAGCAAGAGGAAAAGAAAAUAAAUAAUGAUUUCUUUAGUAGCGGCGAGCGAACGAGAAAGAGCCCAAACCAUUUUAAAUGGGGUUAUAGGACAGACUACAUAGAGUUACAAAAUCUAAUGAUAGCAGAAGCUUUUGGGAAGAAGCGGCGUAGAGGGUGAUACCCCCGUAUGUGAAAUUAUUAGAUCUCUUGGCUGUAUCCUGAGUAGGGCGGGGCACGUGAAACCCUGUCUGAAUUUGCCGGGACCACCCGGUAAGGCUAAAUACUAACCAGACACCGAUAGUGAACUA
rnacentral:rRNA from 1 species